rnacentral:rRNA from 1 species
CGGUAGCUAAGUGCGGAAAAGAUAAGUGCUGAAAGCAUCUAAGCACGAAACUUGCCCCGAGAUGAGUUCUCCCUGACCCUUUAAGGGUCCUGAAGGGACGUUGAAGACGACGACGUUGAUAGGCCGGAUGUGUAAGCGCAGCGAUGCGUUGAGCUAACCGGUACUAAUGACCCGUGAGGCUUAACCUUACAACGCCAGAGGCGUUUUG